rnacentral:tRNA from 2 species
GCCUGGUUAGCUCAGUCGGUAGAGCAUGAGACUCUUAAUCUCAGGGUCGUGGGUUCAACCCCCACACUGGGCG